rnacentral:rRNA from 1 species
CACGGAGACCCCUAGCGUUGUUCGGAAUCACUGGGCUUAAAGCGGGUGUAGGCGGGACGGUAAGUACCUUGUGAAAGCCCCGGGCUCAACCCGGGAAUGGCUGGGUAUACUGUCGUUCUUGAGGCAGGUAGGGGUCACUGGAACCUUAGGUGGAGCGGUGAAAUGCGUAGAUAUCUAAGGGAACGCCUGUGGCGAAAGCGAGUGACUGGGCCUGUCCUGACGCUGAGACCCGAAAGCGUAGGGAGCAAACAGG